GGUUGAUUAGCUCAGUUGGUUAGAGCGCCGAGCUAAUAUCUGCUGAUAUUUGGCACUCGGAGGCCAUCGGUUCGAGACCGAUAUUGACCA